GUUUGAUCCUGGCUCAGGACGCACGCUGGCGGCGUGCUUAACACAUGCAAGUCGAACGAUGAAGCCCUUCGGGGUGGAUUAGUGGCGAACGGGUGAGGAGGACGUGGGCAAUCUGCCCUUCACUCUGGGACAAGCCCUGGAAACGGGGUCUAAUACCGGAUAACACCGGCUUCCGCAUGGGGGCUGGUUGAAAGCUCCGGCGGUGAAGGAUGAGCCCGCGGCCUAUCAGCUUGUUGGUGGGGUAAUGGCCUACCAAGGCGACGACGGGUAGCCGGCCUGAGAGGGCGACCGGCCACACUGGGACUGAGACACGGCCCAGACUCCUACGGGAGGCAGCAGUGGGGAAUAUUGCACAAUGGGCGAAAGCCUGAUGCAGCGACGCCGCGUGAGGGAUGACGGCCUUCGGGUUGUAAACCUCUUUCAGCAGGGAAGAAGCGAAAGUGACGGUACCUGCAGAAGAAGCGCCGG
rnacentral:rRNA from 1 species